UACAGAGGGGGCAAGCGUUGUUCGGAAUUACUGGGCGUAAAGGGCGCGUAGGCGGCCUGCUAAGUCGGACGUGAAAUCCCUCGGCUUAACCGGGGAACUGCGUCUGAUACUGGAUGGCUUGAGUUUGGGAGAGGGAUGCGGAAUUCCAGGUGUAGCGGUGAAAUGCGUAGAUAUCUGGAGGAACACCGGUGGCGAAGGCGGCAUCCUGGACCAACACUGACGCUGAGGAGCGAAAGCCAGGGGAGCAAACGGG
rnacentral:rRNA from 1 species